UCUCAGUAUAGAUGUCAUGGUAGAAGAGACCAACACGUUAUCGAAAAAUGCGAGGAAGAGAAAGAGAGUGACCGAUCAAAAGACCCGAGAAGAGUAGUUAUCGGACUGUUUUUUACUCGUUGGCGUGAGCUAAAAGUAUGCAACACAGAAGCCGAGUUGGCCUUCUUGCUGUUGGACUAGUUAUUAGCUGGCUUGCUGAGUCUGUUGUUGUUGCGCUUGCUAGAUGUUUGGCUGUGUUAGCAAAGUUGUUGACUUGAGCAAAUCAGCCUGGGGUUUCACAGUCAGAGGUUUAGCCUGCUGUCUGGCUUUCCAACCAAGUUUCACGCAAGAUUACGCUGCUGGUGUCGAGCCGGAGCUGGGCGAGCAGGCAACAUUUACUGGGCUCAGCAGCUUCUAUGGACAUAACGUUGUUAGAGUGCCACAUGCCAUGAAUUUUGAAGUCAUGGAGCUGUCACAGCCAGCUUUCACCCUCACAUUGUACUCCCUCAGUAGUGAGAGAGGAGGGGAUGCUUAACAAUCUCCCAUUGCUCAUUCCAUCCCUUCACCUUCAGCAUCGGACACACAAAAUUGAUUUUAAUCAAGCAAUAAAGUAGAUCUGAUCCUCC